rnacentral:lncRNA from 1 species
UUUUCUUUCUUGCUUUUCUUUUUUUUCUCUUUUUUUUUGGAACAAAAACUCGUUUUCAGUCCUUCUUUUGACCCAUAGACAUCUUUUCUUUUAACCUCUGUGUCAAACGCAGCACAACUUUCAACUAAAGGGGAUCACUAAGAUGGAUGGUGCAGCACAAAAACAAGAAACUGCGGUGGGGAAUAUGUGGCGGUUAGAAAACAAGGGUGGGAUGGGUGGGUAUUUUUUUUGUUUAUAUAUACGCAGCAAGCAAUGAUGAUCAGAUCAAGGGUGGGAUGGAUGGGUACAUGCAGCAAGCAAUUUGAUGAUUAGAACAAAGAUAAUAACUAGAACAAUGUGGAAAAGAAAAAUUCAGCAACUAGACAAAUAUUAAAGGAUUAAAACUCGAUAAAGCAAACUACAAAAUCAGUAGCACAUAUGAAUUUGGGCUGUAGGUUUUCUUUUUGGCUCUCACAGUGGACAGUAGGUAUUUAAACUCUAUCCUACCAAAAUCAAGAACAAUCCUACCGAGGAAACGAAGGCUUUGGUACCAGAUGAUAUGCUCACGCCUAGGGAUAGCGUGAGACAAGUCGUUGUGGCCCGAUCUUCUCGUAGGAUUCGCGAACUUGAUAACUUGUCGCUGCGUGACCUGGUGAAGAGGCAGUGCACCGCGAGGCUGUCCACGCGACGAACUACCGAGACAAUCACCCUUCCACGUACCGACGAACAGCCCAUGCAAUCACGCCGUAUAGACGUGAAGGCACAAACUGGAUGAACCGCAGUUCGGCGUUCUACAACUCCCUCAGGAAUCGAAAGAACAAGUUUUGCAAGCCUCUCAAGAC